GCCUUCGUGGUGUAGUGGUCAGCACGCUGGGCGCGUUUUCCAGAGGUUCGUGGUUCGAGUCCCGGCGAAGGCG
rnacentral:tRNA from 1 species